rnacentral:rRNA from 1 species
UACGGAGGGUGCAAGCGUUAUCCGGAAUCACUGGGUUUAAAGGGUGCGUAGGCUGUUUGAUAAGUCAGUUGUGAAAUACCCCGGCUUAACCGGCGGUCGUGCGAUUGAUACUGUCAGACUUGAAUCAGGUUGAGGUAGGCGGAAUGUGGCAUGUAGCGGUGAAAUGCAUAGAUAUGCCAUAGAACACCGAUUGCGAAGGCAGCUUGCUGGACCUAGAUUGACGCUGAGGCACGAAAGCGUGGGGAGCAAACAGG